CAAGACUCACUGCUAGUGAUUGGGGAGCUGGACGUCAACCCCAAUCUCCUGGGCUCUGAAGUGCACCCUGUUAACUUCUGUGCAAUAUCGGCACCAUUGGGGGAACCAGGAAUGAAGGGGCUUAGAAGCCAUCCCCAGGCCCUUGGACUCAUCAGAAAGGAUGCAGGAAGCAGUGGAGUGGGGUAGCAAUCUACUGCCACAUGCAGUCAGGCUGGAGGUGAGCAGAUUCCCUGGUCUCUGGUGAGGACAGGGGGUGGGCGUAGGUUGGAGAGCACCCACUGAUGGAGCUCUGGUCCUGCCCCUGGUGGCCCCACACCAAGAGCUUUGCCCGUGUUGCAUCAUUUAAUUCCCCGCCAGCCCUGCAAGGCAGGAUUAUUAUCUCUUGUUACAGACUAGGAAAUGGAGCUUUUAGAGAGAGUAAGGAACUUGCCUAGAGUCUCUCAGCCAGUAAGGGUCAGAACCAAGAUUUGGAUCUGGAACUUGAGGUUUUUUGGGGAAAUCCAUCCAGAAAAAGAAAAUGGCAAGAAUGGCCCCCGGGUUGGACUUCAGGGAGAGCGCACCGCCCUCCCUUCGACACUUCACCCCUGUGGGCUGUCCAUUCCUGGGGAUGUCUUUUUGAAAUUCCAAAAGCUCAUUGCAGGAACCAAAAAGCCUCUCUGUGCAACCCUUCAGGUGGCCAGACCCUCCCAGGCUGGCGCCUACCUCCCCCGAGGAUUUCCCCUGCACAACUUCCAUUUGAAAAGGAGCUUGGGGCCUCGGUGCCUACCUGCUGGGGGCCAUCAAUGCCCUCAACUCAGGGAUGCAAAGUGGAGCAGCUGAUGGGGGAUGGGGGACUGGGAAAGCCACCCCGAACCUGGCCUUGGGUGUUGGUUGUUUUUUUGUUUCGUUUUGUUUUGCUUUUGUCUUUUUAGGGUCGCACCAUGGCACAUGGAGAUUCCCAGGCUAGAGGGGUCGAAUCAGCUGUAGCCACCGGCCUUUCCAGAGCCACAGCAACCCCAGCUCCUUAACCCACUGAGCGAGGCCAGGGAUUGAACCUGUGUCUUCAUGGAUGCUGGUCGCUCAUUGCUGAGCCACGAUGGGAACGCCAACCUCCUUUUUUUCAACUGGCCUUGCCAAGGGACAAUGACCUUCUUUCCUCACGGGGAAGAGCCCCCCCACCAGGGGCACAUCAGGUGUGGGGCAAUUUUUUCCACUGGACCUCACUUGAUGAGCCAAUUUGGUUGCCCCGGAAGGACCCGGUUUGGCCAGAAGCCUCUCCAUGUCUCCCCUGGCCCUGCCCCCUCCACCUCUGGGCCGCUCCCUCCCACUUAUUCAAGAAAGAUCCGUAUUUUCCUCUUGUUAGAAGGUGACAGAGGGAAUUUGCUCAUGGUCACAGAACAAAUUCAUGAAUUCAUUCAUCAAAACUUGGAGCUGCUGCUGAGCCAGACUUGGCAGAGGAGUGAGAUGAGGCAUAGCCUCUGGGUACCAGUUGCCUAAACCAAGGGCCACUCUGUAAUAGUGCAUUGCUCAAGAUUGUCUGCCAUGCAUGCAGCAGGGACAUGGAGGGGCCUGACCCAACCUGAGAACCAGAGAAGACUUCCUGGAGGAGGCAGAUAGAGCAAAGUCUUAAAGACUGAAGAAGAAGAACAACAACAUGAAAAAAUGGAGUUUGCACUGUGGUACAACGGGAUAGGUGGCAACUCUGGGGUGUGGGGACACAGGUCCAAUCCCCAGCCGGCACAGUGAGUUAAAGGAUCUGGCGUUGCAGUAGCUGUGGCUUGGAUCGCAACUGUGGCUCGGAGCUGAUCCCCAACCAGGGACCUCCAUAUGCCAAGGGGUGCCCAAAAAA
rnacentral:lncRNA from 1 species